rnacentral:tRNA from 1 species
CCCCUGGCGGUCUAGUGGUUAGGAUUCGGCGCUCUCAUCCACCGCGGCCUGGGUUCGACUCGUGGUCAGAGUG